AUUGAACGCUGGCGGCAGGCCUAACACAUGCAAGUCGAGCGCGAGGCGGACGGGUGUGUAAAGUCUGGGAAACUGCCCGAUGGAGGGGGAUAACACCUGGAAACGGUGGCUAAUACCGCAUACCAUCAGAUGUGCCCCGAUGGGAUUAGCUGGUAGGUGGGGUAACGGCUCACCUAGGCGACGAUCCCUAGCUGGUCUGAGAGGAUGACCAGCCACACUGGAACUGAGACACGGUCCAGACUCCUACGGGAGGCAGCAGUGGGGAAUAUUGCACAAUGGGCGCAAGCCUGAUGCAGCCAUGCCGCGUGUGUGAAGAAGGCCUUCGGGUUGUAAAGUACUUUCAGCGGGGAGGCGUUACCCGCAGAAGAAGCACCGGCUAACUCCGUGCCAGCAGCCGCGGUAAUUC
rnacentral:rRNA from 1 species